CUACGGGCGGCUGCAGUGGGGAAUAUUGCACAAUGGGGGAAACCCUGAUGCAGCAACGCCGCGUGAAGGAAGAAGGCUCUUGGGUUGUAAACUUCUUUGAAUGGGGACGAAAAAAAUGACGGUACCCAUAAAACAAGCCACGGCUAACUACGUGCCGGCAGCCGCGGUAAUACGUAGGUGGCAAGCGUUAUCCGGAAUUACUGGGUGUAAAGGGCGUGUAGGCGGGAGAGCAAGUCAGAUGUGAAAUGCCAAGGCUUAACCAUGGAACUGCAUCUGAAACUGUUUUUCUUGAGUACUGGAGAGGAAAGUGGAAUUCCUAGUGUAGCGGUGAAAUGCGUAGAGAUUAGGAGGAACACCAGUGGCGAAGGCGGCUUUCUGGACAGUAACUGACGCUGAGGCGCGAAAGCGUGGGGAGCAAACAGGAUUAGAUACCCGUGUAGUC
rnacentral:rRNA from 1 species